GGAAGGAUCAUUACUGAAUUGUCAACAAGAGUUGUUGCUGGCCCCUGUACGGGGGCAUGUGCACGCUCUGUUUACACAUCCACUCACACCUGUGCACCCUCUGUAGUUCUAUGGCCCGGGGGGGCUCUGUCCUCCUGUGCUGUGGUUCUACGUCUUUACACACACACUGUAAUAAAGUCUUAUGGAAUGUACGUCGCGUUUAACGCAAUGAAAUACAACUUUCAGCAACGGAUCUCUUGGCUCUCGCAUCGAUGAAGAACGCAGCGAAAUGCGAUAAGUAAUGUGAAUUGCAGAAUUCAGUGAAUCAUCGAAUCUUUGAACGCACCUUGCGCCCUUUGGCUAUUCCGAAGGGCAUGCCUGUUUGAGUAUCAUGAACACCUCAACUCUCAUGGCUUGCCUGUGAUGAGCUUGGACUUUGGGGGUCUUGCUGGCCUGUGGUCGGCUCCUCUCGAAUAAAUUAGCUUGCCGGUGUUUGGUGGGGUCACAGGUGUGAUAACUAUCUACACUUGCGGUUUUCCACCAGGUAACCUUCAGCAAUGGAGGUUCACCGGAGCUUACAAAUGUCUCUCCUCAGUGAAGACAGAUUUUGACCAUUUGAUCUCAAAUCAGGUAGGACUACCCGCUGAACUUAAGCAUAUCAAUAAGCGGAGGAAAAGAAACUAACAAGGAUUCCCCUAGUAACUGCGAGUGAAGCGGGAAGAGCUCAAAUUUAAAAUCUGGCGUGCCUCUGGCCGUCCGAGUUGUAGUCUGGAGAAGCGUUUUCCGUGUUGGACCGUGUAUAAGUCUCUUGGAACAGGGCGUCAUAGAGGGUGAGAAUCCCGUCUUUGACACGGACUACCAAUGCUUUGUGAUGCGCUCUCAAAGAGUCGAGUUGUUUGGGAAUGCAGCUCAAAAUGGGUGGUAAAUUCCAUCUAAAGCUAAAUAUAGGCGAGAGACCGAUAGCGAACAAGUACCGUGAGGGAAA
rnacentral:rRNA from 1 species